rnacentral:rRNA from 1 species
UAACACAUGCAAGUCGAACGAGAACGGAUUUUUAGUUUACUAAAUUGUCAGCUAAGUGGCGCACGGGUGAGUAAUAUAUAGUUAACCUGCCCCAAAGAAGAGAAUAAUUGAUGGAAACGUCUUGUAACUCUCUAUAUGCCUUUAUCACAUAAGUGAGCAAGGGAAACAUUUAUGGCUUUGGGAUGGGACUGUACGGUAUCAGAUAGUUGGUGAGGUAAUGGCUCACCAAGUCAAUGACGCCUAACUGGUUUGAGAGGAUGAUCAGUCACACUGGAACUGAGACACGGUCCAGACUCCUACGGGAGGCAGCAGUGGGGAAUAUUGCACAAUGGAGGAAACUCUGAUGCAGCAACGCCGCGUGGAGGAUGACACAUUUCGGUGCGUAAACUCCUUUUAUAUGAGAAGAUAAUGACGGUAUCAUAUGAAUAAGCACCGGCUAACUCCGUGCCAGCAGCCGCGGUAAUACGGGGGGUGCAAGCGUUACUCGGAAUCACUGGGCGUAAAGAGCAUGUAGGCU